rnacentral:rRNA from 1 species
AUUGAACGCUGGCGGCAGGCCUAACACAUGCAAGUCGAGCGGAUGAAGGGAGCUUGCUCCUGGAUUCAGCGGCGGACGGGUGAGUAAUGCCUAGGAAUCUGCCUGGUAGUGGGGGAUAACGUCCGGAAACGGGCGCUAAUACCGCAUACGUCCUGAGGGAGAAAGGGGGGGAUCUUAGGACCUCACGCCAUCAGAUGAGCCUAUGUCGGUUUAGCUAGUUGGGGGGGUAAAGGCCUACCAAGGCGACGAUCCGUAACUGGUCUGAGAGGACGAUCAGUCACACUGGAACUGUGACACCGUCCAGCCUCCUACGGGAGGCAGCAGUGGGGAAUAUUGGACAAUGGGCCAAAGCCUGAUCCAGCCAUGCCGCGUGUGUGAAGAAGGUCUUCGGAUUGUAAAGCACCUUAAGUUGGGAGAAAGCGCAGUAAGUUAAUACCUUGCUGCUUUGACGUUACCGACAGAAUAAGCGACGGCUAACUUCGUG